GAAACCAACAGGGAUUGCCUUAGUAACGGCGAGUGAAGCGGCAAUAGCUCAAAUUUGAAAUCUGGCGCUUGCGUCCGAGUUGUAAUUUGCAGAGGAUGAUUUUGGUUAGGUACCUUCCGAGUUCCUUGGAACAGGACGCCUUAGAGGGUGAGAGCCCCGUACGGUUGGAUGCCGAGCCUUUGUAAAUCUCCUUCGACGAGUCGAGUAGUUUGGGAAUGCUGCUCUAAAUGGGAGGUAAAUUUCUUCUAAAGCUAAAUACCGGCCAGAGACCGAUAGCGCACAAGUAGAGUGAUCGAAAGAUGAAAAGCACUUUGAAAAGAGGGUUAAAUAGCACGUUAAAUUGUUGAAAGGGAAGGAUUUAUGACCAGACUUUUUCUAGGAGGAUCAUCCGGUGUUCUCACCGGUGCACUUCUUCUAGUCUAGGCCAGCAUCGACUUUCGGCGGUGGAUAAAAGCUUUGGGAAUGUGGCUCCUUUCGGGGAGUGUUAUAGCCUAUUGUAUAAUACACUGCUGGGGGUCGAGGUACGCGCUUCUGCAAGGAUGCUGGCGUAAUGGUUAUCAAUCACCCGUCUUGAAACACGGACCAAGGAGUCGAACAUUUGUGCAAGUGUUUGGGUGUUAACCCCUCACGCGUAAUGAAAGUGAACGGAGGUGAGAGCCCUUACGGGUGCAUCAUCGACCGAUCCUGAUGUUUUCGGAUGGAUUUGAGUAAGAGCAUAACUGUUCGGACCCGAAAGAUGGUGAACUAUGCGUGGAUAGGGUGAAGCCAGAGGAAACUCUGGUGGAGGCUCGCAGCGGUUCUGACGUGCAAAUCGAUCGUCAAAUCUGCGCAUGGGGGCGAAAGACUAAUCGAACCAUCUAGUAGCUGGUUACCG
rnacentral:rRNA from 1 species